rnacentral:rRNA from 1 species
UACGUAGGGUGCGAGCGUUGUCCGGAAUUAUUGGGCGUAAAGAGCUUGUAGGCGGUUUGUCGCGUCUGCUGUGAAAAUCCGGGGCUCAACCCCGGACUUGCAGUGGGUACGGGGCAGACUAGAGUGUGGUAGGGGGAGACUGGAAUUCCUGGUGUAGCGGUGGAAUGCGCAGAUAUCAGGAGGAACACCGAUGGCGAAGGCAGGUCUCUGGGCCACUACUGACGCUGAGAAGCGAAAGCAUGGGGAGCGAACAGG